rnacentral:miRNA from 1 species
ACCUUAGAGACCAACUAAGUUUGUUAAUGGUAUGAGCUUUCGUGUGUAUUUGAAAAAGUGUGCAUGCACGCGAAAGCUCAUACCAAUAACAAACUUAGUUGGUCUCUAAGGU